rfam:Chlorocebus sabaeus isolate 1994-021 chromosome 23, whole genome shotgun sequence.
GUGCUCACUUACUUCAGUAGCAUAUAUACUAAAAUUGGAAAGGUACAGGUGAGAUUAACAUGGCCCCUGCACAAAUUUAUGAAGUGUUCCAUUUUAAAAAAAAUAAAAUAAAA